rnacentral:rRNA from 1 species
UCGGGAAUUUUGGGCAAUGGGCGAAAGCCUGACCCAGCAACGCCGCGUGAAGGAUGAAAUCCCUCGGGAUGUAAACUUCGCAAGAACAGGAAGAAUAAGUUUGUGCUAACACCACAAGCGAUGACGGUACUGUUUGUAAGCUCCGGCUAACUCCGUGCCAGCAGCCGCGGUAAUACGGGGGGAGCAAGCGUUGUUCGGAUUUACUGGGCGUAAAGGGCGCGUAGGCGGCCGCCGCAAGUCAGUUGUGAAAUCUCCGAGCUUAACUCGGAAAGGUCAACUGAUACUGCGGGGCUAGAGUGCGGAAGGGGCAACUGGAAUUCUUGGUGUAGCGGUGAAAUGCGUAGAUAUCAAGAGGAACACCGGCGGCGAAGGCGGGUUGCUGGGCCGACACUGACGCUGAGGCGCGAAAGCUAGGGGAGCGAACGGG